rnacentral:rRNA from 1 species
GAGUUUGAUCCUGGCUCAGAACGAACGCUGGCGGCGUGCCUAACACAUGCAAGUCGAACGAGAAAGGGACUUCGGUCCUGAGUAGAGUGGCGCACGGGUGAGUAACACGUGGAUAACCUGCCCUGAAGUCUGGGAUAACAUUUCGAAAGGGAUGCUAAUACCGGAUAAGCCUACGACCUCUUCGGGGGAUGUAGGAAAAGAUUUAUUGCUUCAGGAUGGGUCCGCGGUCCAUUAGCUAGUUGGUAGGGUAAUGGCCUACCAAGGCUUCGAUGGAUAGCUGGUCUGAGAGGAUGAUCGGCCACACUGGAACUGAGACACGGUCCAGACUCCUACGGGAGGCAGCAGUGGGGAAUUUUGCGCAAUGGACGAAAGUCUGACGCAGCAACGCCGCGUGAAGGAUGAAGGCCCUUGGGUCGUAAACUUCUGUCAGUGGGGAAGAAAUGCCCACAAGGGAGCUGACGGUACCCACAAAGGAAGCACCGGCUAACUCCGUGCCAGCAGCCGCGGUAAUACGGAGGGUGCAAGCGUUGUUCGGAAUUAUUGGGCGUAAAGCGCGUGUAGGCGGUCUGUUAAGUCUGGUGUGAAAGCCCUGGGCUCAACCCAGGAAGUGCAUUGGAUACUGGCAGACUUGAGUAUGGGAGAGGAAAGCGGAAUUCCGAGUGUAGGAGUGAAAUCCGUAGAUAUUCGGAGGAACACCAGUGGCGAAGGCGGCUUUCUGGACCAAUACUGACGCUGAGACGCGAAAGCGUGGGGAGCAAACAGGAUUAGAUACCCUGGUAGUCCACGCCGUAAACGAUGAGCAUUAGGUGCAGCGGAUAUUGACCUCUGCUGUGCCGUAGCUAACGCGUUAAAUGCUCCGCCUGGGGAGUACGGCCGCAAGGCUAAAACUCAAAGGAAUUGACGGG